UCGUUUGGCUUUAGAUCCCCCCUCCCCUUUCGACGAACCCCAAUGGCUAUUCCCCCCUCCCCAUUUCCCCUAAUCUGAGAAAUCAAAUCAGUCUGAUUCCAGUGGAAGUGUGGAACCCUCCAGCGCUCGUCUCCGAUCUCUCUGCUCCUUCGUUGUCGGCACUCGGCAGUCUCUCACCCUCACCUAGUCGCCCUCACCUCGUCACUCCAACGUCUCUCCCCUCACCUCGUUACUUCGUCGCCUCUCCGCUCACCUCGUCACUCUCCGUCUCUCACGGUCACGGCCUCACCUCGUCGCUCUUUCAGUCUCUCACCUCGUCGUCGUCGUCGCGGUCCCGUAAUCCUGCCCUGCGUUCACUUCGUUGGCGGCAGAAAGCUCACAGAAGACAGAAAUCAAGCAGCAUCUCUGCAUCUGCUCCCUCGGGUCAAUCGGGUGGUGGUGGUCGUCUUCUUGGUCGCGGUCUGGGAACCAGUUAUCCAGGUAUGGAUGCAAAUCAAAAUGAGUAAAAUGUUGAUCAAGCUCCAAAUUUGUCCUAUGAAGAUGUUGAUGUCGACUUUGAGCUCACCCUUGGACUUAAUUUAAUGAUUGUGUUAUCUUCCACUUGCUCUUAUUUAAAUUGAGAACAUAUUUUGUACUAAAAACUAGUUUAUUAUCUUUUUUUUAGAUUAUUAGUUAUGUUUAAGACUUGAUAUUAGAUUAUUAAUGUUUGUAAAGACUUGCAUUUUAAGUUUUAUGACAUCAUUUUAAUUUUAUUUAUAUAAUUUUAUAUUUUUUAA